rnacentral:rRNA from 1 species
GAUGAACGCUAGCGACAGGCUUAACACAUGCAAGUCGAGGGGCAGCGGGGGUAGCAAUACCCGCCGGCGACCGGCGCACGGGUGAGUAACACGUAUCCAACCUGUCCCAUACUCGGGGAUAGCCUUUCGAAAGAAAGAUUAAUACCCGAUGGUAUCAGAUCAAGGCAUCUUGAUUUGAUUAAAGAACUUCGGUAUGGGGUGGGGAUGCGUUCCAUUAGCUUGUUGGCGGGGUAACGGCCCACCAAGGCGACGAUGGAUAGGGGUUCUGAGAGGAAGGUCCCCCCACAUUGGAACUGAGACACGGUCCAAACUCCUACGGGAGGCAGCAGUGAGGAAUAUUGGUCAAUGGACGAGAGUCUGAACCAGCCAAGUAGCGUGAAGGAUGACUGCCCUAUGGGUUGUAAACUUCUUUUAUAAGGGAAUAAAGUGCGCCACGUGUGGGUGUUUUU